rnacentral:other from 1 species
GGCUUCCUGGAAUGUACGCCAGUUGGUGUCGUCCUUGAGCCGUUAUAGAAAACUAGGGGAUUCUGCGUCGGCACCGGUGUGCACACCCAACGCAUUCGCUGCGGGUAGCCUUAGAUGCCGCCCGAAUCACCGCCUUGAACCAAGAGCGGUUCAGGGCCAGCCAAACAGCGGCAUUCCGGUGGCAA